UACGUAGGGUGCGAGCGUUAAUCGGAAUUACUGGGCGUAAAGCGUGCGCAGGCGGUUAUUUAAGUCAGGUAUGAAAGCCCUGGGCUUAACCUAGGAAUUGCGCUUGAGACUGGAUAGCUUGGAGUGCGGCAGAGGGAGGUGGAAUUCCACGUGUAGCAGUGAAAUGCGUAGAGAUGUGGAGGAACACCGAUGGCGAAGGCAGCCUCCUGGGCCAGCACUGACGCUCAUGCACGAAAGCGUGGGGAGCAAACAGG
rnacentral:rRNA from 1 species